GAUGAACGCUGGCGGCGUGCCUAAUACAUGCAAGUCGAACGCGAGCAGCAAUGCUCGAGUGGCGAACGGGUGAGUAAUACAUAAGUAACCUGCCCUAGACAGGGGGAUAACAGUCAGAAAUGACUGCUAAUACCGCAUAAGCGCACAGAGCUGCAUGGCUCGGUGUGAAAAACUCCGGUGGUAUAAGAUGGACCCGCGUUGGAUUAGCUGGUUGGUGAGGUAACGGCCCACCAAGGCGACGAUCCAUAGCCGGCCUGAGAGGGUGAACGGCCACAUUGGGACUGAGACACGGCCCAA
rnacentral:rRNA from 1 species